AUACGUAGGGGGCGAGCGUUGUCCGGAAUGAUUGGGCGUAAAGGGCGCGUAGGCGGCCCGGUAAGUCUGGAGUGAAAGUCCUGUUUUUAAGAUGGGAAUUGCUUUGGAUACUGUCGGGCUUGAGUGCAGGAGAGGUAAGUGGAAUUCCCAGUGUAGCGGUGAAAUGCGUAGAGAUUGGGAGGAACACCAGUGGCGAAGGCGACUUAAUGCACUGUAACUGACGCUGAGGCGCGAAAGUGGGGGGAGCAAACAGGAUUAGAUACCCUAGGAGUCCACGUUGUAAACGAUGAAUGCUAGGUGGAGGGGGUAGCGACGCUUUCUGCGCCGCAGUCAACACAAUAAGCAUUCCGCCUGGGGAGUCCGGCCUUAAGGUUGAAGCUCAAAGGACUUCACGGGG
rnacentral:rRNA from 1 species